ACACUCAGCUCCUCCACAUGGAGCCAGUAAGAACUGGAGCACAUGGAACAAACAUUUGUGCGAACAAAGACAAGGCCUUCGGGAAGUACUACUCCAAACCCACAGAGGCUCCGGAGCCGAUGGACGUGGAGAACACAGAGAGGAGCGGCUUCAUGAAGACGGAGCUCAUAUCAGUGUCAGAAGUGUAAGCAGAGAAAACGUCCAGACUGCAGGACAACAUGAUGCCGAUGUCUCCUGACGACUACAAGGUUUUGGAGCAGUUCGUCGGUCCCAGAGACAUCGACACCGUGAUGAGCGCAGACUUUCCUGACCAGAACUAAAGAUGAGCUCCUCAUCCUCUUGUUACCAGUGUACUCUUCAUGUCUUUGUUUAAUGCAGAGACUAAAGCCCCAUUUGGACGGGAUUAACAGUACGGGAGGAGGUGGAGAAUUAAAUCUUCACUGUGGUCUUCUGUAAUGUAACCUCCAUAACUCUGCUAAGAAGUCAGAAAAAAGACACUUGUGUUUGUGCAGAACUUGCUUUUGGAACUUGUUUUUAACUUUUCUUCAGUAUCACAGUGAUCCAGUGACAGCUGUCUGUACGCCCAUGGGUUCACUGCAGACAGGAGAUGAUCGCAGCUAAUUCUGCAUACUUAGAAUAAAAAUAUGUGAAUAAAUGUAUAUGCUGUGAUUACUGGUGAUUAUUGAUCACUUGGACAUUGUGUAUUUAAGUCUGCAAAAACAUCUUAUUGUGUGGAGCAUUCAACCUGAGCUUUUUAUUUAAGAAACUGUAUCAGUGGCUGUAGUUUUCAUCAGUGUUGUAACAGCAAUUA